GGAUCUGGGGAAGGCUGGUUGGGGGGUCUCUAGUUUCUCCACCAGGGGGCAUCCUGGGACCUUCUGGAGGGCGUGAACCUGGAGCUGCACACCUGCUGCCACUUACCAUUGUUUGGAGGGGUUUAUCAGGACGGAGUCGCCACACUCCAGUGCCAGAGUGUUAGCCUGUGAUGAUAAUAUCAUUGUAGCUCACCUCCGACCACCUGUUCUCCGAGUAACCUCCUUUUGUGCUGCCUUUCCUAGGUUGUCGUUCCGUGAAGCCCUGAGUUUCUUCAAACUUCUACGAACCUGGGCAGAUUACCAAAGAUCCUCGAGACCCCGCGGAGUCUACCCGUUGGUGGCCACGUCCCUGAGACCAGCUCUCAGUUCUGUCGGUGGCAGAUCCCUGGUCAAGCGGAUCCCUUCCGGCACCUUGUCUGAGAUCUCCCUCCACUCACCUGUCCGCCCUCUAGAGAAACUCACGCCCUCGUUCCAGCCUGCAGCUCCGGAUCCUAGCGGUUCACCUCUCCAUGCUCAGACGAGCUCACCAGCAAAUCCAGAACCACGCAGACGAGCACCAGUUCCGGACCUCCUUGUACAUACCUGUUAGCACUGUAUUUAAUAAACCACCAUAACCUUUA